rnacentral:tRNA from 1 species
UCCAUGGUGGCUCAGUGGUAAAGAAUCUGCCUGCCAAUGCAGGAGACUCGGGUUCAAUCCCUGACCCAGGAA